GUGAGGAAUUUUGCGCAAUGGCCGCAAGGCUGACGCAGCAACGCCGCGUGGGUGAUGAAGGCCUUCGGGUCGUAAAGCCCUGUCAGGUGGGAAGAAAGGCCUUAAGGAGAAAGACUUGAGGUUUGACGGUACCACCAGAGGAAGCACCGGCUAACUCCGUGCCAGCAGCCGCGGUAAUACGGAGGGUGCGAGCGUUAUUCGGAAUUACUGGGCGUAAAGCGCGUGUAGGCGGGGGGACAAGUCUGAUGUGAAAGCCCUGGGCUUAACCUGGGAAGCGCAUUGGAAACUGUUUUUCUUGAGUACUGGAGAGGAAGGGGGAAUUCCCGGUGUAGAGGUGAAAUUCGUAGAGAUCGGGAGGAAUACCAGUGGCGUAGGCGCCCUUCUGGACGGUAACUGACGCUGAGACGCGAAAGCGUGGGGAGCAAACAGGAUUAGAAACCCGGGUAGUCC
rnacentral:rRNA from 1 species